ACAGGUCAGCGGAUAUCCGUAGCAUCGAAGGAAAGGUAAAGAACAAGUUCAAAUGGUCGUGGCUGGAGGAAAAGGAUGUAAAUGGUGACUUUUUAUUGGACUUUGUGAGGAAAGUGGACAGGCUAGGAUAUGCAGUAUGCACGUGAAAGGAUUUAUUAACACAUUGCAGUUUACAAAGGAUGGGAAAUACCUGGUGGCUGGUGUAGGACAGGAACACAGACUUGGACGAUGGUGGAGAAUAAAAGAAGCCAGAAACUCCAUUGUUAUUAUUCCUUUGUUAUUUAAAACAUAAUUUACAAGUAAACUAUCUUAUAGUUGGUGUGAAGAAAUCAAUAAAAGUUAUUUUUUGAGAGA